AGGAAGCACAAGUUAGGAUACAUUUAUUUCAGGCUUCACAGAAAACAGACAUGCAGCACAAUGGCAUGGUGACAAAAAUAACAAAUAAUGAUUUUUUAAAUAAUAUUUUUAAAAAGUGACUGCUGCAUUUUAAGAGCAUGGGCAAAUGGAUGAAAUAAUCUAAUCUGAAAUCAUAAGUAGCCCAACCCAUUACUUUACAAAUACGCAAGUUCAGGUUUGCCACUUUCAGACAAGUUAGACCAAGUCAGAAACCUCUGGCAAUUGUGUAAACCUUCUAGCAUCAAUAUUCUUAUGCAAUGGACGCCUGAGUUUCCUGAAAUUAGCGUUUUUAUAAAGCCUUGCAUACUGCACCGCCAUCGAUGGAUUGGAGGGGGGGGGGGGGGGGGUAUCCACCCAAAGACUGCGAGUAUGAUUGAACGGGAUUUUAUCCAAUGGUAUGCCUGUGGUCACGACACCUCGCCACGUGAAUGGGAGGACUGCUAUAACCGAGGAAGGUGGGAGGGGCCAUGACGAAAAUAAAAUUUCACAAAAAAGAUAAUAUUGUGUAUAUACUCAUACAGAAAAACAACUUUAACGCAUUUACUAAAGGUUUGCAUUAAGAUACUGCCUGACGGCAGUCAUCGGAAGGGACAUACUCGUGUCCAGUACUUGCUACGCGACACUUAAAGGUAGACUGCACACGGCCUUAGGACGCAUGAUAUAAUCUAAUUUCUUCAUUGCAAUACGGCAUACCACACUGUCACAUGAUACUGUUUAAAAAACAGAAAAAAAACCCGAUAUGCAGACAAGGAAGCUAGCAAAACGAUAAUGGAAAAUCAGCAUACUAUGAUAGCAGACCCGUUCUUCACUCCUACAUCUCCAGUGACGGCCGCAAAACAUUCAACAUUCCGCCAACCGCUUAGCUAUUUACCAUUAGCUCACGUGAACUACAAACGGGGUGCCACAAGCGGCGAGAAAAUAUUCAGUGGGAAACGCGCCCCCACUGGCCAGGAGGGAAACUAAGCAGAAGCAAAGCUCGACGUUCCGUCGUAACCACUUUCAAACGGCGGGAAAAGGUAUAAUUGUUUUUUUUUUCUUUUUUAAUUUUAACAAAAUGUGAUUUGUCCUAAACUUAGUGGAUUUAAAUAAGUCUAAUUCAGCUACAUACUUGAUAUUUGUCCCAACAUAUGAAUGUUUGCCAAAUGAGCUCUUAUUAUUAUGAGCUGAUAUUUAAAAUUUACUUCAGUGACAACUCUUUUCUAUUUUACUUUUUUACUUUACUGUUUUUAUCACAAUUUACACAGAACUGUACAAUUCUGACCUCUCAAAAAUCUGUUUUUGAUAGGCCCAUAAACUUCUACUUUGGGGGCAUUUGAUGCAGGUUAUAGAAUUGUUCAAAUAUUAAAAUGUGCCGCAGCUGUUUCAUUGUUAUUACAGUCUUAUAACAUUUACAUUCAACCAAACCCUAAGGUUCCCCUCAACUUUAGAGACAACUAAAACAUCAAAUGUAAGACUGUUUUUGUAAUCAUAUAAAACAGCUUGUUUAAAAUGUGUGUAUUUGUUACUUUCUUUGCAGUAUACAACAGGCAACAAUAGAAUAACAAAUAAAUUAACACAAAAUACAAAAUAAGUCAUUUACAGACACUUCUGUCAGCAGUCCUCUAAUCUACAACUGAGGUGGUUCAUUAACACGGGUUACAUUUCUGUAGUCAUAAAUGAUUUAACUGUUGUCCAAUACA